rnacentral:rRNA from 1 species
UACGGGGGGGGGCAAGCGUUGUUCGGAAUUACUGGGCGUAAAGCGCGCGUAGGCGGCUUUUUCAAGUCAGACGUGAAAGCCCAGGCUUAACCUGGGAAUUGCGUUGAUACUGUAGGCUAGAGUGUGGAAGGCUACUGGAAUUCCGGUGUGUAGCGGUGAAAUGCGUAGAUAUUGGGAAGAACACCUGAGGCGAAGGCGGGAUUGCUGGGCUGAUACUGACGCUGAGGCGCGAAAGCCAGGGAGCAAACGGG